GGAGUUAGCCGGUGCUUCUUCUGCGAGUAACGUCACAGAUGUAAGGUAUUAACUUACACCCUUUCCUCCUCGCUGAAAGUGCUUUACAACCCGAAGGCCUUCUUCACACACGCGGCAUGGCUGCAUCAGGGUUUCCCCCAUUGUGCAAUAUUCCCCACUGCUGCCUCCCGUAGGAGUCUGGGCCGUGUCUCAGUCCCAGUGUGGCUGAUCAUCCUCUCAGACCAGCUAGGGAUCGUCGCCUAGGUGAGCCUUUACCUCACCUACUAGCUAAUCCCACCUGGGCUUAUCCAUCAGCGCAAGGCCCGAAGGUCCCCUGCUUUCCCCCGUAGGGCGUAUGCGGUAUUAGCAGUCGUUUCCAACUGUUAUCCCCCACAAAUGGGCAAAUUCCCAGGCAUUACUCACCCGUCCGCCGCUCGUCAUCUUCAAAAGCAAGCUUUUGAAAUGUUACCGCUCGACUUGCAUGUGUUAGGCCUGCCGCCAGCGUUCAAUCUGAGCCAUGAUCAAACUCUGA
rnacentral:rRNA from 1 species